GCUGCGGAAGGAUCAUUA
rnacentral:ncRNA from 6 species